rnacentral:lncRNA from 1 species
GAAGAAAAAAAGGGUUGGUGGGCGGGAAAACAAAGGCAGCUUGGGACAGAUAAAAUGAGCACCGUUGAGAAGAACUGAUAAUUGAUCUUGCGGAUGUUGAAAUGAUCGGGUCCACUCGACGAGAAGCACACCAGUUGAAAAGAAAUUGAAAUGGAAAACUCAAUGAUCGAGAAGGAUUAGUAUUCACAUCGGAGUAUGAGAACACCUCUUAAAGAAAGGUAUGGAAUCAACAUUUGACUUCGAAGCAACUCGAAUACCACAACUCAAAACAAAACAAAGGAUUGGCUUGCAGAAUAAGCCGGAACAAACAUAUGAUAGAGAUUUCGUCCGAAGUUUUCGUGGUGGGGCCUACACGGGCUCGAUCAUACAACACCAUCAUGUACAAGGCAGUGCACAUGACAUACGAAGCAUCCCCGAGUCAGCAUAGCCAAGGACUCUUUAAGACACAACGAGACCACUGUAAAACCAACCGUGGAUAGGCGGACCACUAGACGUCGAACCCCAAUUUCAUAUCAUACAUCCGUUGGAAAGAUAAUCUAAGAGCUACUUGAAUUCCCACUUAUAAACUCCCGAAACUUUCCAGUUAUGCAAUCAGGUGUUGGGGAUACAGGGGAAGCAUAAUAUCUCACCCAAACUAGCAAAUCCUACAUCCAGCUGUAUCCAUCCUUCAACACGUAACCAAGAAUCCUUCGGAAAUCAUUUACCUCAACCUUCAAAAAGCAUCCGUUAUACGAGUUAUGGCAAUACUCCCGAACUCCCGCCCCAGUACUGGGCGGCGUCGAGGAUAUCUCACCAACAACUUCAUAAAAGAGAUUUUCGAUGUCGGCGAAUAAAAAUCAGGUAUUCCAGAACUGCAACAAUAAAAUUGUCAUGACAACACCUCGGAGCUCAACUCCCCGGGACACUGCCACCACCCCUAAAUGUCAGCAGGCACCAAGAUGAAUGUUCUCGUCACAAAACCAUCGAAACGAUUCCAAGAUAUACGCGUGAUCCUAAAUUUUUUUUAGUAAAAUUUGAGAAGAGGAGAGUCAAAACUCUACGUCACGAUGCCUUACCAGAGCGACAAAGGGACUGAGGAGUAAAAAGAAUUCCUACUCUCUGAUAUAUGUAAUCCUAAAUGACUCAAAACAUUUUUCCAGACUCAACAACGCCAACAAUUCGAUCAAGCAGGGGGAUCCUAAGGUCGGGAAGGCUCUGAUACCAACUUGUAACGCCCUCGAUGCGGCUAUUUCUCCCAUGUGUCGAAGCACGACUUAGAGGCAUAACCGCAUUGAAAGCAAUGUCACAAGUGAGGUAAUCUUCACACAACCCAUGUAAUACAUAAGGGACAAAGAUACAUAGUUGGCUUACAAUCGCCACUUCACACAAUACAAGAAUAAAGCAUUACAUCAUCCAGAUACAAUCAAUGUCCGACUACGGAACCAAAAUAAAACAAGACUACCCCAAAAGCUACACAGAUCCCCGGUCGUCCUGACUGGGCUCCACUACUGAUCAACUAGAACGAAACAACACAAAGGACAAGAUCUUCAUAGAGCUCCUCCUUGAUCUUGGUUGCGUCACCUGCUCAGUAACAUUGGCACCUGCAAACUGGUUUUGGAAGUAUCUGUGAGUCAAGGGGACUCAGCAAUCUCACACCCUCGCGAUCAAGACUAUUUAAGCUUAUGGGUAGGGAAAAGGUAUGAGGUGGAACAGCAGAAAGCGACUAGCAUAUACGGUGGCUAACAUACGCAAAUGAGAGAGAGAAGAGAAGGCAAAAGCAUGGUCGAGAAACUAUGAUCAAGAAGUGAUCCAAGAACAACCUACGUCAAACAUAACUCCAACACCGUGUUCACUUCCCGGACUCCGCCGAGAAGAGACCAUCACGGUAACACACGCGGUUGAUGCAUUUUAAUUAAGUUAAGGUUCAGGUUUUCUACAACUGGACAUUAACAAAUUCCCAUCUGCCCAUAACCGCGGGCAUGGCUUUCGAAAGUUCAAAUCCCUGCAGAGGUGUCCCAACUUAGCCCAUCACAAGCUCUCACAGUCAACGAAGGAUAUUCCUUCUCCCAAGACAAUCCGAUCAGACUAGGCAUCCCGGUUACAAGACAUCCUCGACAAUGGUAAAACAAGUCCAGCAAGACCACCCGUUGUGCCGACAAAUCCCGAUAGGAGCUGCACAUAUCUCGUUCUUAGGGCACACCGGAUAAGCUAAGCGUACGGGAGCCAACGUAACCCAAGUUGCCAAGGGACGGCCCCACACGGUGCUCUGGGUUGGACCAACACUUAGACAAGCACUGGCCCGGGGGUUUUAAAUAAAGAUGACCCUCGAAAUGCGUGACUCCCAAGGGAAAAAGGCUAGGUGGCGAAUGGUAAAACCAAGGUUGUCCUUGCUGGAGGAGUUUUAUUCAAAGCGAACUGUCAAGGGGUUCCCAUUAUAACCCAACCGUGUAAGGAACGCAAAAUCCGGGAACAUAACAACGAUAUGACGAAAACUAGGGCGGCAAGAGUGGAACAAAACACCAGGCAUAAGGCCGAGCCUUCCACCCUUUACCAAGUAUAUAGAUGCAUUAAUUAAAUAAGAGAUAUUGUGAUAUCCCAACAACAUAUCCAUGUUCCAAACAUGGAACAAGCUCCAAUCUUCACCUGCAACUAACAACGCUAUAAGAGGGGCUGAGCAAAGCGGUAACAUAGACUUACAACGAUUUGCUAGGACAAGGUGGUUAGAGGCUUGGCUUCACAAUAUGGGAGGCAUGAUAAGCAAGUGGUAGGUAUCGCAGCAUAGGCAUAGCAAAAGAGCGAGCAUCUAGCAAGCAAAGAUAGAAGUGAUUUCGAGGGUAUGGUCAUCUUGCCUGAAAUCCCACAAGGAAGAAGAACGAGUCCAUGAAGAAGACAAACGGACAUAGUUGAACGGGUCCUCACAAACGCGAUGUUAUAGGAACCAACCCGAAGAAGCAACACCGGAAAGAAGCACACAACAUAGUAAACAACCAACACACGAAUAUGGUAUGAUGAUGUGCAAAGGAAUGAUUGAACCUGGCCUCAACUUGGAAAUACAAGAGUGCCGCUGGAAAGAGGAGUUGAUUUUGGUUGAAAUUGAUAUAAAGAUCACCGGAAUCGGAUAUGACAAAUAUGGUACCGGUCUGCGAUAAUCAGCAAGUGACCAUCUAAAUGCAUCAAGAUAAAUAUGCUACAGCACUCAAACAUGGCAACAAAAUACAUGUCAUAGAUCCACUCAUGAUGCUUGACAAAGGAUGAACACUGAGCAAAUGAUAACAGGUUUCAGACUUAGUGAAAUUAACACAAGUCUGGAAUUUAUCAUCAGGAAACAAUCUUUAGAGCAUGAUAACUAUAUGCUACAGGAACAUAUCGUGGCAAAGCAAAGCAUGGCAUGAAGCUACUCAAAGCACUUAACAAAAGUCCCUAAGUGACCAUGAGCCAAAAGGGAUAAGAAAAUACAAUUGCAAGCAUGUGAACAUAACAAAAACAUAAACAGAUUCAGACUUGGUGAAAAAUUGUAGCAUGCAAAACAGUUAACGAGUAGGCAUGUUUAUGAGCUCGAUGCACUCACUACAGAGCAUGGCAUGACAAUCUAAUAAUAAACCAAUGAAGAAGACAUGGCAUAAAAGCUAAACAUGGCAAGAACAAUAACAUAGCAUGCACGGAUCAAUAGCAACAUCCUCGGCAAAAUCGCUAAACAUGUCAACAAUCUGCCAGGAUCAUUUUAUAGCAAAAGUAGAGCUCGAUUGACUCAAGCUAGGUUGAUCCAAAAAUACAAACAAAUACAAGGAUGCAUAGAGCACCACAAUAUUAACAAAACAUCCUUACUGAUGAUCCUCAAAAGAGGCACGGAUCACUAGGAAACAACAUGAACAUAUGGCAUAACAACAAAAUCAGGACAAGGACUUAGUGAAAUUCUAAGUCGCUGAAAUCAGCAUCGACGAUUACGCUACUUUGCAUGCUUGUACUAGUCACCACAAACAUCACAAAAAUACAUGGCAUACACCCAUGUAAAGAUAACAUGGGAUUCUACAAAACACAUGUAGAGCUCAGGAUCAUAGCAUGCACACAUUAAUCAUGGCAAAAAUGACAAAAGGCUAUUUGCUGAAACAGAUCUGACAAAUUCAUCACAUAGCCCUCUUCCAACAGCAUUUCGGGCAUCAAGAUGAGCUCAAAUUAAAAUGAUGCAAUGAGAUGAAAUGAUGUACUCGUCGAGACGAACAUUUUGAUAUGAUGCACGCACGGAUCGGAGCUACAAUGACAGAGUUAUGCUAUGAUGAAAAAUGCAAAAUAUUACUGAGACAAAAUGACUUAGUGAAAAUUGGACCUCGCGGCAAAGUCAACGCGGGCGGCGGAUCUCGCCGGAAAGUCACCAGAGAUCGCCAAAAGAGGUCGGGGCAGCCGGAUCCGGGGCUCUCCCGGCCGGAUCUGAGCCGCGGAGCCACUGCAGCAGAGAACGAGGCCUCGGUGCGCGCUCCUGGCGCGGUGGGCGAUGAGGUGGAGGGCCAGCGAGCGGCGGGGCCGGCGAGCUCGCCCAGUGGUGGCGGAGCUCCGUGAGCUUUGUGGCAGCGGCGCGCAUGCGGCAGUGCGCGGGCGGAGAGGAGGGCGCUAUGCGGGGCGGCGGCGUGCACACGCGAUCUGGCGGGGCCGGUGGCGAGCAACGGAGCAGGGCGGCGACGACGCUAGCGCGGCGGCGGCCGGCGAUUAACAGCAAGGCGGUGGAGGCACUAGGGCAGAGUGGCGGCGGCGAACGGGCCCGGCAAGGCCCGGUUCGGCCCCGGGGCGGGCCGAAUCUAGGCCCCGAGCGGUGGCGGCGAUGUGGGGCGCUGGCGGCGGUGACGUGGCGCCCUGCGUUUGGCUCGGGCGGGCGGCGCGCUGAGGUGGCGUCUACGGAUUGGUCCUGGCAACCUGGCGGCGGGGUGGACAUGUCCGGCCGGCGCGGGAGGAACUGUCCGGCGACGCGCGGAGGAGUAGAUCUGGGGUUUCGUCCAUGAAAAAUGGACGGGGAGGGCAUAUUUAUACGUAGAGGGAGCUAGGAGAGUCCAAAUGAGGUGCGGUUUUCGGCCACGCGAUCAUGAUUGAACGACCGAGAUGAUGGAGAGGGUUUAGGUGGGUUUUGGGCCAAAUUGGAGGGGUGUUGGGCUGCAACACACAUGAGGCCUUUUCGAUCCCUAGGUUAACCGUUGGAGUAUCAAACGAAGUCCAAAUUGCAUGAAACUUGACAGGCGGUCUGCCGGUAGUAAACCAAGGCCGCUUGGCAAGUCUUGGUCCAAGCUGAAAAUGUUUAACACCCGCACACGAAAAGAGGUAGAACGGGACACCGGAUGACAUAGGAGCGCCGAAUUGCAAAAAGGACAACGUGGAAAAUGCUCGGAUGCAUGAGACAAACAUGUAUGCAAAUGAAAUGCACAUGAUGACAUGAUAUGCAAUGCAUGACAUGCAAGCAAUGACAAAGCAACAACAGCGAAAAAUAGGAAGACACCUGGCACAUCAGUCCCGGGGCGUCACAGUCAUGGCUCGGCUGGAAACAUUGAGAAACUUGGUUUUUUAAUUCCUGUAAAUCCGAAACACGCAUGAAAAUCAUGAAACUUGGCUUGGUGUCAUGACAUGGCAGCAACAUGCUAUGGUAAUUUUGUUGUACGAUUUGCGAAGGCACACACAUUAACAACCGGCUCNNNNNNNNNNNNNNNNNNNNNNNNNNNNNNNNNNNNNNNNNNNNNNNNNNNNNNNNNNNNNNNNNNNNNNNNNNNNNNNNNNNNNNNNNNNNNNNNNNNNNNNNNNNNNNNNNNNNNNNNNNNNNNNNNNNNNNNNNNNNNNNNNNNNNNNNNNNNNNNNNNNNNNNNNNNNNNNNNNNNNNNNNNNNNNNNNNNNNNNNNNNNNNNNNNNNNNNNNNNNNNNNNNNNNNNNNNNNNNNNNNNNNNNNNNNNNNNNNNNNNNNNNNNNNNNNNNNNNNNNNNNNNNNNNNNNNNNNNNNNNNNNNGCUCACUGUUCAUCCAGAGGCAUCAUCGAUCGGCUUCAGUUAGCAGCAUUGGCAAAGGAAUCGCUCGAUUGGGUUCAAUUAACAGCCAUCGAUUGAUCGCUCGGGUUUAGUAACGCGUAGCCUGCAGUGCAAUCGCUUGGGUUCAGUUAGAGCCCAACGCCUCGCUCGGAUUCAGUUAGAUCCCAAUGCGUCGCACCCACACGCGUGCGUGUGCGAGAGAAACGUGCAUCCCUCAGCCCGGACCACCCACCAUAACUGGGAACACCCCGAUAUUUUCCUCGCCCUCGCUUCUACCACGGUUUUUUCCGUCAUGGACGGCCCAAAGAAUGUCAUGCAGCUGCGUCUCCGGCCCGCCCAGGAUGAAAAGCCCAUUUUCUGUCAUAGAAGUAGGACCCCACCACAUCUAUGAUGAUACCGGGUUUUGUCACAAUUAUCGUCAUAGAAGUGUCAUAAGUAUGACAAAAAAUUUGUUUGGACCAAAAUGUCAGGGAUGUGUCUUUUUUUUGUAGUGAUGCCUUCUGCUUCAUCUCUCAGAUGCGCGCACAAUGGCGAAGACAGGGGCAGCAAGGGUCCUGCCCCCCUAACAUCACUAUAUAUCGAGGCUAAUAUGAAUGUGAUCAUUAGACAAUUGCUGUUAAAAAUGAUUUAAGUUGAUGAAUUGGCCCUCCUCGUAAAGGAUUAGCAAUGCUUGUCCCCCUAGCUCAUGGGACAUUUUUCAUGGCUCCGCCACUUCGCGCAACAUCGCACGUUCUUGCCCCCUCUCUCUAAAUAUCGAUCUCGUAGUUGUGCCCACUUUCAUAGUGUCCCUCCACUCGGCCCCUCGCACCAUCUUCUAGCCCCCCACUGGAUUUUGCCACAUGUAUAAUCUAGCAGACUCCAUGGUUGAAUUUAAGCAUAAUGCAUAAAUCUGAAAACACCAGUGGUUCUCCUUUGUUCUAGAAUCUUUCAUAUCAUAACUGCCCAUUUUUUUCUAGUUCAAUUGCCAUUAUUUGUUUUUACUUUAUGCUUUACAAAGCACAAUUCCAUGAAUCAUAAAAUAGAGUAAGGGCUUCUUAGAUUCAAAGGAUUCUCGAAGGAAUUUUGGAGGAUUCUAAUCCUUAGGAAUUUUUCCUAUCUUGGUUGUUUGAUUCGUAGGAUUGUAAACCAUAGAAAUUUUUCCAUAUGAUUCAUUUGCACUAGAUUUCAUAGGAAACAUCCGAUCCACUCAAACCUCUUUGAAAGAAUUCUAUGUUUUUUCUAUGCACAAUCAAACACUCGUACCAUCCUGUAGGAUUCAAGACGACAUUCCACUCAAAUCCCAUGUUCUUCCUAUUCCCGCAUUUUGGAAAUCCUAUGGAUCAAAGAGGCCCUAGGUUUUUUUAUAAAAACUAAUUGAUUUUGAAUGAUAUGAACUAUAAGAAUUAAACGAAGGUCUACAUCAGGCAUAUAUGACUCAGAGCUUACAUACUACAGUGUGGUAUUUAUUCAUAAUUUGGUUGCAAAUUCUGACGCGUGCAAUGCACGUGUACCUUACUAGUACUUCGAGUAUGUGCAAAACAUAAUGGCACGCUACACAGUGUCUUUCUCAUAGUUCAUGAAGCCACGUGGCACAUGUGGAGGCGUUGUCGCGACAUCCUUGUGUGGAUUGAUCACAGUGACGUGCUGCUGGUUCUAGAAGAAUGUACUCAUCCUCCCUGAGCCGCAUUGGUGGUACAUGCACGAAGCGAAGAUGUGCAUGCACGCCACGCACGCACUCAUUCCCUCGCACGCACACGCGGGUACACGGGCGGACACAAUUUUGUACCAAGAUCCACCCCAUGUGAUAAUUUGACGCGUGUAAGGUCCUUUACUUCAUUGAUGGUCAAUUAAUACAGCGCAUGCAAAUCGAGUGGACGUGAGGGCAGAAGAAAGACAUGCGCGUAGUAUUGUGCGCAUGCGAGUAGUUAAAUCAUGGGUUGCUAGUAGUACUUCCAUUGGUCUCCUUCGUAUUUUGUGCCAAUUUUUGAUAGUAAGAUAAUAUUUACGCAUCUGAGCAGUGUAGUCUACUUGAAAUUUAUGUGCCACUAAACUCAUCGGGAGCCGUUUUGGGUCUCGAAACCAAAAACCAUCAAUUAAUCUUUACCUUGUUCCCAUCACAUUCGAAAAUACUAGUGCUAAAAUUAAGUGCAAGCCUACUCACACCUACCAGUACGUACCAAACCUGAAUGUGUUCCCACUAUGCAGAUUUUAAUACUAGUGCUAGUACUUAGGUUAUAGAAAGGGGAACUACCUAACCGAAAAUUACUCUACCUUCCUCCUCAUAAGUCCUCCUUCUUCGUCUGUCCUUGCCAUGGCCAGUGUGCAGAGCUCUAGGUCGAGAACUACUCGUAAUAAGGGACCACUAACCAAGAUUGUGGAAAAAAAAAGAGGGCUCGCCGCCACGUAGAGAGCUCGAAAGAGCUCUCACGGGCAAUCGAUGGCUCCCGGGAGCGCCCUAGACGUGGAGGCGAACAUGCGGCGCUGGAGUCGUUAUCCCACGACGGCAUGCCCAAUCAGCUCAAUAAGCACCUCAAUAAGCAGAAGGAGUUCAUCCACGGCUUGGUGGAGCUUCUGAAGGAGAGCCUCGACGACAUGCCCGCUGAUCUCAAUGAGCAAGGGGAGUUGACCGCCGGCUUGGUGAUGCUGCUGAAGAAGAGCAUUGCCUCAGAGAAGAAGGUGACCGGGGAAAUCCUGCAACUUCAGGAGGACAAGGCGAAGCUUUGCCAUGAGCUCGACCUGCUGAAGGAGGAGAACGCCGGCUGCAAGAAGCUGCAUGAGAAUAGUAGUUCCUCGAUGAAGAUGUUGCAGGCCCUCGUCAUGGAAUAGAAGGAGGAGUUGGCGAAGCUCCGCAUCGAGCACCCGGCUGCUGUCAAGGUACGUAAUGCGGCCAUGUAACAGAUGAUGAAGGCUCGCGUCGAGAAAUCCCACGUCAUGGACACAAUGAUGAAGAUGGCGGAGGAGACACGCAAGGAGAUGGAGGUCGUGGAGGCGAUGAAGAAAAAGUUAUGACUCCACGGCUAGAAACCCUUCAUGUAGUGAUAGCAGCGCCCCAGACUUGUGUGUGCGUCUUCCUUGUUUUUUGGGGGUGAUAAUCCUACUUCUUCUUUUGCUCCUGUGUUUCUUAUUUUGCUUCGGGUGUUUGGCCGCACGUGUCACCUUCUCUGCAAGGCAUGAAUAGAACAAUGCUAAAAAUGAGAUGACUAGCAAAUUAGAUCAUUCUUUAUCGCCAAUAGAACAAUGCCUCUUGCUAGUAAUAUAUAAUAAGAGUAGUGAGUAGAGGAUAUGGCACUGGGUUGCCGUGUUUCGUGCUCCUCCAUCGUACUCAAGUGGAAAACAUGAGUAUACCACACGGUUCAUGCUCGGUGUCUUUGUACCAUCUACUCAUCUGCAACCGGCCAACUCUUUUCAAGACACCCUGUUUGCUGAUGCCCGAUCCUCGCAUGUGGCGCAGACACUGACUUGACGAUCCUACGGAGGUUGCCGUGGUGCCCCUCGACAUGAUACCACUACCCGUCCACAUGUCCUUCAAGCGUGGCGACUACUAGGCGGACAUGAAUGCCAACUGGAUCAUCCUCAUCAACCAAUCCUGCAGUCCAUGGCGUCUCGUGGAUAUCUACACCCAGCGAGAGAUCACCCUUCCAUCUUCGAAUACCACCGCCAUCGAGCCUCACGGCCCGCCGGACACUCCUGCCUACUACGCACGAGACACGUUGAGCUUUUGGCUCGACCUCUGUUUGCUAAAGGUUGUAAUAUGCGAAGUGCCCACACCAUUAGAAGAUUGCAUGGAUUACAAGCUCAUUACCGUGUUCAACAUGGGAUUAGUCUAUCUGGAAUCCGGUCGCCAUACAUGGUUAUGGCUCAUCGUCGAUCCUCUUUACCCAACACUUCUGUCUGAUGCUAUAGUGCAUGAUGGCAUCGUUUAUGCGGUCGACGCACAUAUUGGCUGCCUAUACUGGUGGAAUCUACCAUCGUGUAAUUGUUCUAUCUCAUCUCAUCUUUACCUCAAGAAUACGACUGCCUGUUCAUUGUUACAAAUUUAGAAUAUAUAGUAUGUCUAUAACCACAUCAUUGCUAUAUGUUCCUCUCAUUUCCUAGAUUUUUAUGACCACACAUGUUAUUGUUAGAGUUGAUAUGAGAAUAAUUGGUAUCUAAUGACUGUUAGAAUAGAUAUUAUGAGUAUAACCUCAUGAUUGCUAUAUGUUACUCUCAUUUCCAGGAUUUUUAUAACAACGCAUGUUAUUGCUUAGAGUUUAUAUGAUAACUGUAGUAAGUGUUAUGGUAGAAUAUGAGUAGGCCCUAUCAUAUCUGUUUUCCUCUCAUUGUUACAUGAUGUUUGAACCAUGAUAUAUUGCUAGAAUAUGAAAGCCAUUGGCUUAUUUUUUUUUAACUUGGGGUAUGAUUAUGACCACGGCAUUGCAAUUCUCUAUCUAUGAUAUGUGUCAAUUUUAUAAUAAUCUUCAUUCCACACAUACUCUGAACAUGAUUGUUUAUUUUUGUCCUUUUGGUCUCAAAUUUGAAUUAUUGCAGCAGACGCAAAUGCGCUGGCCUUCAUGAUUCCAGGACCUGGAAUCAUACCAGUCGAUGGGUGGUGGUUUAUUGCUCGUUUAGCUGACGGUGGUCAUUUGAUGCUCAUUUUCACGUACCAAAUUGACCAAUCCAUUUCAUCAAACCACAUGCAGUACAAUGCCCAGGGCGUCCGUGACAUUAAUUGAUGAGGACAUGGCUACCACAGUUACACCCAUAUCCCCUGUUGUUUUACCUCUUGGAACAGUUGCUAGAGCUCAGAUACGCCAAUUAAAUUAUCAGGUACUUUCGUUUCUUGGUAAUGUUUCUAGUGUUCAUGAGAAUAUGAUGCUGCCUAACUUAGAUACAUUUGUGUUUCUUGCAAUUGAAGGGCCUAGCAUGGACAAGAAGGAUGAACAUUGGAGCAUGGUCAAGCACGGAGAUGAAGGUGCGUGCAAAGAGAACAAGAACGAAGGUUCAAGUGGAGAUUUCCGGACUUUGAAGCCACCAUGAUGACAUACAAGAAGAAGGACGAAAUAUACAAGAUGGCCUUUCAUAAAUUUCCUCCAUAGCUUAUUAUUGGUGUUGCGCCACCUUAUUUUGGGCCAGGCUCAUGUAAUCUAUUUUUAGAGUCCAUAUUAUAGGGGAAACAACUUAGGAGGUGUUUUAGUCCCACCUUGCCAAGGGUGGACAAAAUCCCCUCUCUUUUCCCUAUAUAUAUAGCCCUUAAGGCUUCGUUUAGACUUGGGUUUUAUUUAGUUAAAAGUUAGCAUCGCUGCAACUUCGUGUACUUCGUUUGUGUCCAACGACCAGACCAAGACCGCUUAUGAAACCCCACUUUAAUCAAUACUUCAUCCAUAUUCGCAAUAUUCAGAUUGCUUAAUCAUAUUCUUGCUUGUUCUUCGAUUGCUUGCAGGAAUAGACCUUCGUGGUCAGGUUGAUCGUGCUCCUGCGUGGUCAAUAACCUCUCGGGGUUGGUUUAGCGAUUGCUAAGGUGCAACGUCGUGCACGUUUGUAGUCGAAUCGUCAAAGUCGUCUCCACCAAAUCGAUAGUUAUCAUCUCAUCGAAAGAUCGGGACCCUCGCCUCUAUCAAGUGGUAUCAGUUUUCAGGUUGCUCGGUGAGAUUUUCCAGUUUUUCGUAGUCAGAUUGCAUCUGUUCUUCAUACUAGAGUCCAAGAAAAAGCCAAAAAAAGAGAGUUAGAUUAGUUCAUCCGUAUCCCAGACAGUCUGAGCCUUUCGCUAUUAUCACUUAGUUUUUGCAUUGUUGAAUUUUCUGGUUGCAUCGUGUGUCGAGUUGCUGGUUUUUAGUGUCUAGACUUUUAAAAUUUCGGGUUCUAGUCACGUUUUGUUCAUGCUAUCUCUACAACCACCAUCAUCCACUUCAUUGUCAUCGUCCACUGUCACUUAUUUUGUUCACCGUCGUCACCACCAUCCAUCCACUUUCAUCGGUCGUUGUCAUCACCUUCUCGGUUCAUCUUGUUUCUUGUUUCAUCUCAGAGAGAGAGAGAAAGAAAUCUGAGAAAAAGAAAAAAAAGAGGAGAGGAUACGGGAUAGAGUUUGUUUGGAAACUACAUAAGUUUGGAUCGAUCAUAGAGGAAACAGAAGAAGCAGCGAUCAUUGGAGUUGAUCGAAGGAAGGAAGUAGGUCACGUGAUUCUGCUGGUCCCUCGCCCGUAGCCCCGUACAUAUCCUCGUUGGUUUUUUUUAACGAGAGAAAAACGUUUGAAGAGAGAAAUUAUAGCAGAUCGGUUGACCUUUUGGGACGUUGCCAACA